CCCUGUACACAAAUAUAUGCAAGAGAAGAAAAGGUGACUUCAGUGAGGUUCAGGACUCUGAUAGGCAUACACGGUACACCUUAAACAUGCAGUUUCAACCCUGGAUUCUCAGUGUUUUCUUAAUAUUCCUGGUAGCAACAGGAGGAUUUUCUCAGGAGGAGGAGGAGCCAGAUUGCGGAGAUGAAUUGGAUUG